rnacentral:rRNA from 1 species
GUAAUACAUCGGAACGUACCCAGUAGUGGGGGGUAACGUAGCGAAAGCUACGCUAAUACCGCAUACGAACUACGGUUGAAAGCGGGGGAUCGCAAGACCUCGCGCUAUUGGAGCGGCCGAUGGCAGAUUAGCUAGUUGGUAGGGUAAAAGCCUACCAAGGCGACGAUCUGUAGCUGGUCUGAGAGGACGACCAGCCACACUGGGACUGAGACACGGCCCAGACUCCUACGGGAGGCAGCAGUGGGGAAUUUUGGACAAUGGGGGAAACCCUGAUCCAGCAAUGCCGCGUGUGUGAAGAAGGCCUUCGGGUUGUAAAGCACUUUUGGCAGGAACGAAACGGCUUGGGUUAAUACCUCGGGCUAAUGACGGUACCUGCAGAAUAAGCACCGGCUAACUACGUGCCAGCAGCCGCGGUAAUACGUAGGGUGCAAGCGUUAAUCGGAAUUACUGGGCGUAAAGCGAGCGCAGGCGGUUAUGUAAGACAGAUGUGAAAUCCCCGGGCUUAACCUGGGAACUGCAUUUGUGACUGCAUGGCUAGGGUGCGUCAGAGGGGGGUGGAAUUCCACGUGUAGCAGUGAAGUGCGUAGAGAUGUGGAGGAACACCGAUGGCGAAGGCAGCCCCCUGGGAUGACACUGACGCUCAUGCU